rnacentral:rRNA from 1 species
CAGUCGCCACGGUAAUACGAAGGGGGCUAGCGUUGCUCGGAAUUACUGGGCGUAAAGGGAGCGUAGGCGGAUCGUUAAGUUGGGGGUGAAAGCCCGGGGCUCAACCUCGGAACUGCCUUCAAUACUGGCGAUCUUGAGUAUGAGAGAGGUGUGUGGAACUCCGAGUGUAGAGGUGAAAUUCGUAGAUAUUCGGAGGAACACCAGUGGCGAAGGCGACACACUGGCUCAUUACUGACGCUGAGGCUCGAAAGCGUGGGGAGCAAACAGGAUUAGAUACCCGAGUAGUCCCUGUCUCUUAUAC